UAAAUUUGUCCUAAGUCAAACUUACCUAACUUUAACCAAGUUUUUAGAAAAUAUAUUAACAUCUAUAAUACCUAAUAAAUAAACUGUCAAAACAUAUUUCAUGUUGAAUUCAAUAAAACUAUUUGAUGUUAUACAUGUUGAUGCUUUUUUCUAUAAAUUUGGUUAAAGUUAAGAAAUUUUGACUUAUAGCAAAGCUAA
rnacentral:pre_miRNA from 1 species